GAUGAACGCUGGCGGCGUGCCUAAUACAUGCAAGUCGAGCGAACAGACGAGGCGCUUGCUCCUCUGACGUUAGCGGCGGACGGGUGAGUAACACGUGGAUAACCUACCUAUAAGACUGGGAUAACUUCGGGAAACCGGAGCUAAUACCGGAUAAUAUAUUGAACCGCAUGGUUCAAUAGUGAAAGACGGUUUUGCUGUCACUUAUAGAUGGAUCCGCGCCGCAUUAGCUAGUUGGUAAGGUAACGGCUUACCAAGGCAACGAUGCGUAGCCGACCUGAGAGGGUGAUCGGCCACACUGGAACUGAGACACGGUCCAGACUCCUACGGGAGGCAGCAGUAGGGAAUCUUCCGCAAUGGGCGAGAGCUUGACGGAGCAACGCCGCGUGAGUGAUGAAGGUCUUCGGAUCGUAAAACUCUGUUAUUAGGGAAGAACAAAUGUGUAAGUAACUAUGCACGUCUUGACGGUACCUAAUCAGAAAGCCACGGCUAACUACGUG
rnacentral:rRNA from 1 species